rnacentral:tRNA from 1 species
GGGCGAAGCGCCUGCCUUACAAGCAGGAGGUCGUAGGUUCAAGGCCUGCUCCGCCCA